GCCGGGAUAGCUCAGUUGGUAGAGCAGGGGACUGAAAAUCCUC
rnacentral:tRNA from 16 species